UACGUAGGGAGCGAGCGUUGUCCGGAAUCAUUGGGCGUAAAGAGCGUGUAGGCGGCUCGGUAAGUCCGCUCUGAAAGCCCGGGGCUCAACCCCGGGAGGCGGGCGGAUACUGUCGGGCUAGAGUCCGGAAGAGGCGAGUGGAAUUCCUGGUGUAGCGGUGAAAUGCGCAGAUAUCAGGAGGAACACCAAUGGCGAAGGCAGCUCGCUGGGACGGUACUGACGCUGAGACGCGAAAGCGUGGGGAGCAAACAGG
rnacentral:rRNA from 1 species